rnacentral:tRNA from 1 species
GGCGCUAUAGUGUAGUGGUUAUCACUUGGGAUUCUGAUUACACCUUCCCAAAACCCAGGUUCGAGCCCUGGUAGCGCCU